UACAGGGGGUGCAAACGUUGCUCGGAAUUACUGGGCGUAAAGCGCACGUAGGCGGCGACGUAAGUCGGGUGUGAAAGCCCCGGGCUCAACCUGGGAAUUGCAUUCGAGACUGCAUUGCUGGAGUACGGAAGAGGAAGGCGGAAUUCCCGGUGUAGCGGUGAAAUGCGUAGAUAUCGGGAGGAACAUCAGUGGCGAAGGCGGCCUUCUGGUCCAGUACUGACACUCAAGUGCGAAAGCGUGGGGAGCAAACAGG
rnacentral:rRNA from 1 species